UACGAAGGGGGCUAGCGUUGUUCGGAAUCACUGGGCGUAAAGGGCGCGUAGGCGGCCGAUCAAGUCGGGGGUGAAAGCCUGUGGCUCAACCACAGAAUUGCCUUCGAUACUGUUUGGCUUGAGACCGGAAGAGGUAAGUGGAACUGCGAGUGUAGAGGUGAAAUUCGUAGAUAUUCGCAAGAACACCAGUGGCGAAGGCGGCUUACUGGUCCGGUACUGACGCUGAGGUGCGAAAGCGUGGGGAGCAAACAGG
rnacentral:rRNA from 1 species